rnacentral:lncRNA from 1 species
UGGUUUUAUAGCGCUAAACCUCUCAUUUAUAUUAAAUUUAGUCCUGGUAUCUAUGAUGAGUUUAUUUAUAUGACAGUCGCAUCACAGUAGAGUGAUUCGGUAUGGUUGAGUUGACCAGUUCGUCGUGAAAACGUCACUCAGCCAUUUUGAAAUUUAAAUUACAGGAACACAUUUGCAAUUCUGAGCAUGAAAAAUCAUGACACCUUCAAAGCGACAAAGGAGUGAGCAAGAACGUAUUGACUUCUAUUUCACAAUUCAACCAAACAGAAAGUUAUACUCUAUUAUACUCUCAUGAAAAAAAGUUCUACAUUGAUAUUAUUUUCCUACGAAAUUAUGUUUAACCCCAAACGCCCGCGUCUGUCUUCAAAUAGCAUAGCUGAAUAAUUAUCCCCAGUCAGUAUAAGCUCUGGAUAGUUUUAAAGUGCAAGGUACGAACCAUUUGUUUGAGGAGGCAGUCUGAGAUAUUUGAGAGAACAAAUCUUACUCUACUUUUUGCCUUAAACAAAAAUUCUGGCCGUAUUUGGAUUGAAAACAAUAAUCUUGUCCACUUUUUAGCUAAUAGAAACGAAAAUUUCCAACAGAAUAGUAUAGCAUUAAAUGAACAUAAUAAAUAAAAAACGGGCGUAUUUUUUGGGGACGGGGGUUUGCAUGAACUGAUAUAUUGAAUACUUUUAUUAAGAUCAGACUGCAACCUACCUGCUGGAUGUGGCCUUUAUGUCUCCAUUUGUCGACCGUCAUUCACAAAUUCGUUGUCAUUUCAGAAUCAUUCGUAGCCUUUGGUUAAUUUUCAAUUUUGUUGGGUAAAACAUAUCAACCAAACAUUUGUAUAAAAAUUACUUGUUUGUCUUUUUAAGGAUGUACUUAGGUACGAUAAGUUAAAAAUUAAGAAAUUAAGAAAUUAAAAUUGAUACUAUAAGCUGGUUACGUAGAACAUCAAUUAAGGAUAAAGAUAAGCAAAAAAUAUUGAUAGGUCACGGACCUCCUUUUCGAGAUAUUUGAGAUUUAAAAUAUGGCGGGAAAAGGCUGACUCGGACUUUUACCUAUAUUUGCAUUGGUAUUAUUUGGGUCUCAAAACAAAAGAUAGAAAAUCAAAAAUCUUCUAAAAUUUUGGUAAAUGACCUUUCACGAGCUAUUAAG